AUGGUGGCUAGCGCCAGGAUGCUUCUCGUUGCCGCCGUGGUAGGGUUUUUGGCAACCACGGCGUGCCAAGCCGCCCAGCGGAACUACGCCACCGCGCUCACCAAGUCGCUGCUCUACUUCGAGGCGCAGCGCUCCGGCAGGCUGCCGCCGACCCAGCGCGUCCAGUGGCGCGGCAACUCGGCCCUCAAGGACGGCGCCGACCACGGGGUGGAUCUUACCGGCGGCUACUACGACUCCGGCGACAACGUCAAGUUCGGGUUCCCCAUGGCGUUCACGGCGACCAUGCUGUCGUGGAGCGUGGUGGAGCACCGGGGCCGGCUGGCCGCAGCGGGGGAGCUGGGCCACGCGCUCGAGGCGGUGCGCUGGGGCGCCGACUACCUGGCCAAGGCGCACGCCCGCCCCGAUGUGCUCUACGUGAAUGUCGGCGACGGCGACUCCGACCACGCGUGCUGGGAGCGGCCGGAGGACAUGGACACGCCCCGGAGGUCGUACUUGGUGAACGCCACCCACCCGGGCUCCGAUGUCGCCGCCGAGACGGCGGCGGCACUGGCCGCGGCCUCCGUCGCGUUCACGGGGCCGCGCGGCGACUCCCGGUACGCGUCUACGCUUCUGAAGCACGCGAAACAGUUGUUUCAGUUCGCCAAGAACAACCGUGGCCUCUACCAGAACAGCAUUCCAUCGGCCAGAAGUUUCUACAGUAGCAGCGGCGACGAGGACGAGCUGCUGUGGGCAGCUGUCUGGCUCUACAUCGCCACCGGCCACCACGAGUACAAGGCCUACAUCGCCGGCGCCAACAACGUCGGCGGGGUGCGGCAGUCGUUAUCCUGGGACGACAAGUUCGUCGGAGCCCAGGCACUGGUCGCCAAGCUCAUCCUCCAAGGGAAGCUGCCCAACAACGGCCGCCACGCCGAGAUGAGGAGCAACGUGGAGAGCUUCCUCUGCAACGUCGUUCAGCACGGUGACGGCCGCAGCGGGCGGCUCACCCCGGGCGGCAUGCUCUACCUGCAGCCCUGGUCCAACCUGCAGGACGUCACGACGGCGAUGUUCGUCCUCGUCACGCACGCCGACCACCUGGCGGCGGCAAGGGCUUCCCUGCAGUGCGGCGGCGUGAGGCUACCGCCGGCACAGCUCGUCUCGUUCGCCCGGUCACAGGCGGACUACAUCCUUGGCAAGAACCCCAUGAAGAUGAGCUACAUGGUUGGGGUAGGAAAGAGGUACCCGACGCAGCCGCACCACCGCGGCGCGUCGCUGCCGUCCCUCACGAACAACCCGGGGAAGAUCUCCUGCGGCAAGGGAUCCGAGUACUUCCACAGGUCUGCGCCCAACUUGAAUGUGAUUGACGGCGCCAUCGUCGGAGGGCCUGACAACAACGACCAUUACGACGAUUCUCGGGGAAAUUACCAGCAAGGAGAGCCAUCAACCUACACCGUCGCGCCCAUCGUCGGAGUGCUUGCAAGGCUUCUGCAUAACUGA
rnacentral:rRNA from 1 species